rnacentral:rRNA from 1 species
UACGUAGGGGCCUAGCGUUGUCCGGAAUCAUUGGGCGUAAAGAGCGCGUAGGCGGCCCGGUAAGUCCGCUGUAAAAGUCAAAGGCUUAACCUUUGAAAGUCAGUGGAUACUGCCGGGCUAGAGUCCGGAAGAGGCGAGUGGAACUCCUGGUGUAGCGGUGGAAUGCGCAGAUAUCAGGAAGAACACCAACGGCGAAGGCAGCUCGCUGGGACGGAACUGACGCUGAGGCGACGAAAGCGUGGGGAGCGAACAGG